AGCUUCCUAGUACUCAGCACAGGCUGUGUUCUUAUGCUGACUGAACAGAAAGAGGAGAUGGAGUAAACCCCAUAUACACUCCCAGGCCCUGCGCCUUGUCUGUAUUUUGAAUAGGGAAACAAGG
rnacentral:snoRNA from 1 species